AUUGAACGCUGGCGGCAGGCCUAACACAUGCAAGUCGAGCGGAGCGGCGGAAGGGGGAGUAAUGCCUAGGAAUCUGCCUGGUGGUGGGGGAUAACGUCCGGGAACGGGCGCUAAUACCGCAUACUAGCAGAUGAGCCUAGGGCGGAUUAGCUAGAUGGGGGGGUAAUGGCCUACCAAGGCGACGAUCCGUAACCGGUCUGAGAGGAUGAUCAGUCACACUGGAACUGAGACACGGUCCAGACUCCUACGGGAGGCAGCAGUGGGGAAUAUUGGACAAUGGGCGAAAGCCUGAUCCAGCCAUGCCGCGUGUGUGAAGAAGGUCUUCGGAUUGUAAAGCACUUUAAGUUGGGAGGCGUUACCAACAGAAUAAGCACCGGCUAACUUCGUGUCAGCAGCCGCGGUAAUAC
rnacentral:rRNA from 1 species